GCCCACAUAGCUCAGCUGGUAGAGCGCAUCCUUGGUAAGGAUGAGGUCUUCGGUCCGAUUCCGAAUGCGGGCUCCA
rnacentral:tRNA from 1 species